ACUGCGAGUGAAGCGGGAAAAGCUCAAAUUUAAAAUCUGUUGGCAUCAGCCAUCCGAGUUGUAAUCUAGAGAAGUGUUACCCGUGCUGGACCAUGUACAAGUCUCCUGGAAUGGAGCAUCACAGAGGGUGAGAAUCCCGUCUUUGACAUGGACUACCAGUACAUUUGUGGUAUGCUCUCAAAGAGUCGAGUUGUUUGGGAAUGCAGCUCAAAAUGGGUGGUAAAUGCCAUCUAAAGCUAAAUAUUGGCGAGAGACCGAUAGCGAACAAGUACCGUGAGGGAAAGAUGAAAAGAACUUUGGAAAGAGAGUUAAACAGUACGUGAAAUUGCUGAAAGGGAAACGCUUGAAGUCAGUCGCAUUGACUUGAAAUCAACCCGUUUUUGCUGGGUGUACUUUCUUGUCAAUGGGUCAGCAUCAAUUUUGAUCGUUGGAUAAAGUUAUUGGGAAUGUGGCAUCUUUUGGAUGUGUUAUAGCCCAAUGAUGCAUACAGCGGUUGGGAUUGAGGAACUCAGCACGCCACAAGGCCGGGUUUCGACCACGUUCGUGCUUAGGAUGCUGGCAUAAUGGCUUUAAUCGACCCGUCUUGAAACACGGACCAAGGAGUCUAACAUGCCUGCAAGUGUUUGGGUGGAAAACCCAUGCGCGUAAUGAAAGUGAAAGUUGAGAUCCCUUUGGGGAGCAUCGACGCCCGGACCAGACCUUUUGUGACGGAUCCGCGGUAGAGCAUGUAUGUUGGGACCCGAAAGAUGGUGAACUAUGCCUGAAUAGGGUGAAGCCAGAGGAAACUCUGGUGGAGGCUCGUAGCGAUUCUGACGUGCAAAUCGAUCGUCAAAUUUGGGUAUAG
rnacentral:rRNA from 1 species